GGGAGAACGGUCUAUUCCACUC
rnacentral:siRNA from 1 species